UUUUGGGAUGUGCAAGGUCUUUAGAAAAAGCCUCAUAAGACAUUGCUGAGUGUUAUGAGCCCUACCUCCUUGAUAGAGGGCACAUGUGGAAUGCAGACCAGCAAAGCUUUGCUCCAGAGUAGUGGAUGCUACAAGGCAAGACAGAGCUGCAGGGGGAGCAUCAGUAAAUCCACCCUGUGGUCUGAAGCAAUUCCAGAAUUAUUCCAAGAGCCCUCCUUCACUUGGACUUGGCAAAAGGAUUGGGUGUUGCAGGAAACACAGGAACGUAAGAACAGUGGAGAAGUAGUCACAAAUGAGAGCUCUAAGUGAAGCAAAGAACCCUGAAUGUGCCCC